rnacentral:rRNA from 1 species
CCUACGGGUGGCUGCAGUGGGGAAUAUUGGACAAUGGGCGAAAGCCUGAUCCAGCCAUGCCGCGUGUGUGAAGAAGGCCUUCGGGUUGUAAAGCACUUUCAGUGGGGAAGAAAGCCUUGGGGCUAAUACCCUCGAGGAAGGACAUCACCCACAGAAGAAGCACCAGCUAACUCCGUGCCAGCAGCCGCGGUAAUACGGAGGGUGCGAGCGUUAAUCGGAAUUACUGGGCGUAAAGCGCGCGUAGGCGGUCUGAUAAGCCGGUUGGGAAAGCCCCGGGCUCAACCUGGGAACGGCAUCCGGAACUGUCAGGCUAGAGUGCAGGAGAGGAGGGUAGAAUUCCCGGUGUAGCGGUGAAAUGCGUAGAGAUCGGGAGGAAUACCAGUGGCGAAGGCGGCCUUCUGGACUGACACUGACGCUGAGGUGCGAAAGCGUGGGUAGCAAACAGGAUUAGAUACCCUAGUAGUC